CCCCCGCGUGGUCACCUUUCUUCCAUGAGCACGACCUGCUCCAGUGGACUCGCUCCCCAGCGCUGACCCUUUCCUGCUCCCCGUCGCCGCCUCCCUGCACCGCCACCUGGAUAGCGCCGUGGGCGCCGCCGCAUCCAUGGGGCGGCCUAGAUCCAGGGUGGGGAUAGCAAUGAGAAGGGUGGAGGUGGUUCUAGGGGAAGCAUCUUUAUAAAGGCUGCAACGAUGUUUAACACUUCUACAUUCAUUGGAGAUCUGCAUGCCAAAGAUGUACUACAUGUUACUUCUAUAGCAAUGCUAGGGAUAGUUCUUCAUACAAUGUCUAGAGGGCAGGGAUUUUGUGGAGUAUGUGUGCCGGUGUCCAAAUGGCAGCAACGAGGUGUGAUGGUCUCUCAAGCAUCAACAUGGGAUAAAAUGAACAAAGAGAGCCAUGUGUGCAAGCGGGAUGCAUGGUGGAUCAGUAUAUAUAUUACCAACACAAGGAGAUUUAGUCCAAACAAGAUGUAUUUCUAUCGUAGUAGUACAUAAUAUCUACCUUUUCGUCUAUGUAUUCUAUAAGAAGCCUGAGUUGCUAUACAAAACAUCUCAAGGUGCCCAAAAUGACAUAUGUGGAUUGUUAUACGAAAUAUCUCAAGAUGCCCAAAAUGUCAUGUGUGAUGAAUAGUUUAUAUUUGAUUUCGGCUUAUUUUGGUGAAUGUAUCAAAUUUGUAAUAUUUGGGAUAUGAGCUAAAUAA